rnacentral:SRP_RNA from 1 species
GGCUGGGACCCGCACGGCAAGAAGCUCCGAACCGUGUCAGGGGCGAAAGCCAGCAGCACUAAGGGGUGAAAUGGGUGUUGCGGGUAUCCUAGCUCAC